UCCCCUAGUAACUGCGAGUGAAGCGGGAAAAGCUCAAAUUUAAAAUCUGGCGGUCUUUGGCCGUCCGAGUUGUAGUCUGGAGAAGUGCUUUCCGCGCUGGACCGUGUAUAAGUCUCUUGGAACAGAGCGUCAUAGAGGGUGAGAAUCCCGUCUUUGACACGGACUACCAGUGCUUUGUGAUGCGCUCUCAAAGAGUCGAGUUGUUUGGGAAUGCAGCUCAAAAUGGGUGGUGAAUUCCAUCUAAAGCUAAAUAUUGGCGAGAGACCGAUAGCGAACAAGUACCGUGAGGGAAAGAUGAAAAGCACUUUGGAAAGAGAGUUAAACAGUACGUGAAAUUGCUGAAAGGGAAACGCUUGAAGUCAGUCGCGUCGUCCGGAACUCAGCCUUGCUUUUGCUUGGUGCACUUUCCGGAUGACGGGUCAGCAUCGAUUUCGACCGUCGGAAAAGGGCUGGAGUAAUGUGGCACCUCCGGGUGUGUUAUAGACUCUGGUCGCAUACGGCGGUUGGGAUCGAGGAACGCAGCGCGCCGCAAGGCAGGGGUUCGCCCACUUUCGCGCUUAGGAUGCUGGCAUAAUGGCUUUAAACGACCCGUCUUGAAACACGGACCAAGGAGUCUAACAUACCUGCGAGUGUUUGGGUGGAAAACCCGAGCGCGCAAUGAAAGUGAAAGUUGAGAUCCCUGUCGUGGGGAGCAUCGACGCCCGGACCAGACGUUCUCUGACGGAUCCGCGGUAGAGCAUGUAUGUUGGGACCCGAAAGAUGGUGAACUAUGCCUGAAUAGGGUGAAGCCAGAGGAAACUCUGGUGGAGGCUCGUAGCGAUUCUGACGUGCAAAUCGAUCGUCAAAUUU
rnacentral:rRNA from 1 species